rnacentral:rRNA from 1 species
GAUGAACGCUGGCGGCGUGCCUAAUACAUGCAAGUCGAGCGAACAGACGAGGAGCUUGCUCCUCUGACGUUAGCGGCGGACGGGUGAGUAACACGUGGAGAACCUACCUAUAAGACUGGGAUAACUUCGGGAAACCGGAGCUAAUACCGGAUAAUAUAUUGAACCGCAUGGUUCAAUAGUGAAAGACGGUUUUGCUGUCACUUAUAGAUGGAUCCGCGCCGCAUUAGCUAGUUGUUAAGGUAACGGCUUACCAAGGCGACGAUGCGUAGCCGACCUGAGAGGGUGAUCGGCCACACUGGAACUGAGACACGGUCCAGACUCCUACGGGAGGCAGCAGUAGGGAAUCUUCCGCAAUGGGCGAAAGCUUGACGGAGCAACGCCGCGUGAGUGAUGAAGGUCUUCGGAUCGUAAAACUCUGUUAUUAGGGAAGAACAAAUGUGUAAGUAACUAUGCACGUCUUGACGGUACCUAAUCAGAAAGCCACGGCUAACUACGUG